CGAGGAGGAGUAGGAAAAAGAAGGAGGGGAGGGAGGGAGGCAGGCAGGCAGGCAGGCAAGGAAGCCCUCCGAAGCCCUCUGACCGCCCAGGAUGCGACUUGGACACAUCCGAAAGGGCCUAGCGGGAGGCUAGAGAAGCGGCACUUGGGGGGCGAAGACCUUCCCUCCCCUCGCCUCUUAGGCGGCAGAAAGACCCCGGAGCCAAGCAUGAGCCAGUGCACUAGACUGCAGGUCCCGCAGCAACUUGCAGCCGCGUCCCUCCUCUUUCACGCCACCCCCAAACUGGGACACAGCCUCCCACCACCGUGAUGCCCCAAUCCCCUUCCCUACCGCGAUCCCUCUUCUGGAGCCAUUAUCUUCCCAUGGAUUGUUUAGGCAAAGGGCUGGAGAGGGAAUUCUUGGCUCCUUACUUGCUUCUCACAGCCUGCAGCUGCAGACUCAUUCAUUCAUUCAUUCAUUCAUCCAUUCAACUAGGUAUACUGAGCACCUACUAUGUAUUCACUUGUACUGUUGAGUUGCUGGGAACGGUGAAAAAAAAGUGUCCCUAGACUGGUGGAUUUUAUUUUCAGGUGUGCAGGUGUGGGUGGAGGGAGGGUGAGACAAUAAACAAAUGCAAAAACAGUAGAUGAAUUCUAAAAAGGAAAUAGAACCAAACGCUGGUAGUGGAGGUCUUUUCAAGUAGGUGGUCGGGAAAGCCUGUUAAGAUUACAUUUAAGUCAAUGCCUGAAUGACAAAAGGAUGUCAUUCCAACAGUGCUUUGCUAUCUCAGCCUCCAUGUCUCUGCACAUGCCCUCCUGUCCAGCUGGAAUGCCCUUCCACCCCCAUUUUUCUGGUGAACUUUUGCCUCUCCUUCAAGGCCAAGCUUCCUUCCUGAACCACCUAAGUGGAGGUAAUCACUCUCACAUUUGUGCCAUCAGAGUCUUAGGUACUUUCCAAUAUCAUAACAUGGUGUCAUGCAAAGAUUUAUUUGUCUCUCUCCCUCCACAGGAGAGAUGUGGAGGGCCAGGUUGGCAUCUUUUCCCUCUGGGACAAGUACCACAGUAGGAGCUCAUGGGGCCAGGAGGGCUGUGAGAUGCCCUCUGGGCCCCUUCAGCACCUCUUCCCUGGUUCGUGCUGCCUGAAUUGCCCAGGUGCUGUUGAGCUGUGGCCUUGGCUGCUGGCCUGGGGAAAAGUGGAACUGGAAUAUUGGCUUCCCUGGGCCUAGUCAGGACACUUGGCAACCCAUUUCCAACCCAGCAGAAGGUCCCACCUCUUCUGUACCCUGUGAUACUGCCUAAGGACAUCCCUCCCCACAAUGUUGCACCUCAUCCUACAGCUCAAUACCUAGGAUAGAAGGCUAAGAUCUUGGUAAAGACCUUGACCCCAGGACACAAAGUUUGGGGCCUGGGGAAAACUAGGAUGUGUAAGAAACCCAGGACCUGCAUCUGGGACCCAAUUUGACUUCCCCUACAUUCACUAGGCACAGGGAAUGGAAAGUCAGCAAGACCUGGGCCAGCACCCUGUGAAAGCUCACUCCCCAGGUGGAAUUUCAGCACCUUCACUCUAGGAACUGAAGUCUCUAGGAAUAGCUGCGCUUGCUCCACUGGAGGUUUCCUAAGUAAGCAACUACUUUGCCUCCAAUCCAGUCCCCUAUUCUGCUGGGCCUUGGCCUCUCAGCACCACACACCCACUUUCCUUCCUGGGCUUCCUCUUGCCCUGUGUUGGUCUUCCUUCACUCUGCAUUCCCUCUUGUUCUGGAAAAGUGACUUGUGAUCCUCAUAGAGGAAACAGAACUGGUUCUGUGGAUUGGCUUCCGCAAGUUUGCGUGUCCUGAGAUACUUGAAGCCAGCCUAGACCAGCCUGCUCCCUAUCCUGCUCCGGAGCCUGCAGUCUCCAGGUAUAAAAAGCUCCCAUCAUUUCACUGGAGGAUUUCCCUACUGCUCAUUGCUGGGGUUCCUCGAUCGGAGGUUGAAAAUCCUUGACCAACGCAGCUACCUCUUCCUUGGGCUCCCUCUCCAGGGGAAAAGUUCCCCCUGACAGGAUGAACUGCUGCUUCAUUAAAUUGUCCUGUGAGCCAGGAGGAAUCAAAAUCUACCCAUUAGACUUGGAACAGGCCAAGUAAGUUGUUCCUCUGGGCUGUGGUUUUUGAGAUCUAUGGUGGAGAGAAGGGUAAACCAUAUGAUACCAGAGGUCACUUCAGGUUCAACCCUCUUGGGUUCCCUUGGAUGAGUGUGUAACCCCUCCCCACCCACUAAGCUCAGGGUGGGUUGGCACCACUGGUGGAAGAAGUGGGAUAGGUUUUAGAUGGCUAAAACCUAUUUUCCUGUAGAGCCUGAUCUUGAGGAGUUAAGAGGAUGAACUCUGAAGUCAAACUGAGUCCAUUCUAUUCUCAGCAGCACCACAACCAGCAGUGGAAACCUUGAGUAAAUUAGAAGUGCCCUGAACCUCAGUUUCUUCCUCUAUAAAAUGGGUAUGCUUGUAGCACCUUUUUUUGUUGUUGUUCCUACAGUAAAACAUGCAAAUAGUUAAGUAUACAACUCAGUGAAUGUUUAUAUAGUAAAUCUUCAUGUAUCAAUCAUUUUGGCUUUGGAAGUUAAGUAAGAUGAUCAAGCUCAAUACCUAGGAUAUUGCGUUGACGUUCCAGGAAGAUGUCUAGGACGCUAUUCCGCCCUCGAGGCACUCGCAGUUCCCCGGGGUGAGGGAGUGGGGACAGGGGCGGGGAGGCGGGGACCUGGACAGCACAAGGACCGAAAACCCCAGCUCUGCGGGCGCGCGUCACCACGGAGAUCUGGCAGAGCCAUUGCGGGUAAACCUGGGACAGGUGGCGCCCGGCAGGGUCUGCAGGGCUUUGACUUCGGCUGCAUCUGGGACAUUCGACAGAAGGGGAAGGUGAAAGAACGUUUCCUGGUGGAGGCACGAGUCCUCUCUAGCCCACCGCUGCAGGAAGGAAAGGAUCUUGUUCUCGGUACUGGGGAUAAAGCAGUGACCAAGAGAGAAAAAGAGUCCCAGUGCUCAUUUGGGAGAGAUGGAUGAUAGAAAGAAACUUCGGACAGUGACCAAGUCGCCUUGUUGUUGUCGUGGAGAUUUUCCUGCUACUGCUGCUGCCGCCGCCACUACCACUGGGCUCAUUUGCCCUGACCCCUUCCCACCGCCCCACCCCCAGCCCCACACAAGAUGUCAGAGGAUUUAGCAAAGCAGCUGGCAAGCUACAAAGCUCAGCUCCAGCAAGUUGAAGCUGCAUUAUCUGGAAAUGGAGAAAAUGAAGAUUUGCUAAACUUGAAGAAAGAUUUACAAGAAGUUAUAGAACUAACCAAAGACCCUCUGUCAACUCAACCUUCUGAGAUGCUUGCAAGUUCAGACAGUUUUGCUUCUACUCAACCUACUCAUUCAUGGAAAGUAGGAGACAAGUGUAUGGCAAUCUGGAGUGAAGAUGGAUAGUGCUAUGAAGCGGAGAUUGAAGAGAUAGAUGAAGAAAAUGGCACUGCUGCAAUCACUUUUGCUGGUUAUGGCAAUGCUGAAGUGACUUCACUGUUGAACCUCAAGCCUGUAGAAGAAGGAAGGAAGGCAAAGGAGGACAGUGGUAACAAACCCGUGUCAAAAAAAGAAAUGAUUGCCCAGCAGCAUGAAUAUAAAAAGAAGAAGGCUUUGAAAAAAGCUCAGAGAAUAAAAGAACUUGAGCAGGAAAGAGAGGACCAGAAAGUGAAAUGGCAACAAUUCAACAACAGAGCCUAUUCCAAAAGCAAAAAAGGCCAGGCAAAGAGGAGUAUUUUUGCUUCACCUGAGAGUGUGACUGGCAAAGUUGGAGUAGGAACUUGUGGAAUUGCCGAUAAACCUAUGACACAAUAUCAAGAUACCUCUGUAUAUAAUGUCAGGCAUUUGAUGCCUCAAUAAUCAGAAAAACUGUUGGAUUUCAUCUCUGCAGGGCUUUACAUUUACCUUUUUAUCCUUAUAUUUUUCUAAAGGUAAAUUAUUUGUUAGAUGAGUAAGCAAGAUACCAUUGUCGUCAUUGGUUGACUUCACUAGAAUGAAACGUGAAGAAAUUGCAUUUGAUAACUGCUAUUUGUUUAACUUUUCUCGUUAUCAGUACCACGGUUCCCUCAAAGUUUGUUGAAUAAAGCAACUUUUGUAGAUGCUGUUUCAUACAGCA